AGUCUUGUGGUGUUAUCAUGUUAGGUUGCAAACCUAAAGAUGCGAAUUACCAUUUGCCGAGACU
rnacentral:tRNA from 1 species